UACGUAGGUGGCAAGCGUUGUCCGGAUUUACUGGGCGUAAAGAGCGCGCAGGCGGUCGUUCAAGUCGCGUGUGAAAGCCCCCGGCUCAACUGGGGAGGGUCACGCGAUACUGAUCGACUGGAAGGCAGGAGAGGGUAGUGGAAUUCCCGGUGUAGUGGUGAAAUGCGUAGAUAUCGGGAGGAACACCAGUGGCGAAGGCGACUACCUGGCCUGUUCUUGACGCUGAGGCGCGAGAGCUAGGGGAGCAAACGGG
rnacentral:rRNA from 1 species